rnacentral:rRNA from 1 species
CAGGAUGAACGCUAGCUACAGGCUUAACACAUGCAAGUCGAGGGGAAACGACAUCGAAAGCUUGCUUUUGAUGGGCGUCGACCGGCGCACGGGUGAGUAACGCGUAUCCAACCUGCCCAUCACUUGGGGAUAACCUUGCGAAAGUAAGACUAAUACCCAAUGACGUCUCUAGAAGACAUCUAAAAGAGAUUAAAGAUUUAUCGGUGAUGGAUGGGGAUGCGUCUGAUUAGCUUGUUGGCGGGGUAACGGCCCACCAAGGCGACGAUCAGUAGGGGUUCUGAGAGGAAGGUCCCCCACAUUGGAACUGAGACACGGUCCAAACUCCUACGGGAGGCAGCAGUGAGGAAUAUUGGUCAAUGGGCGAGAGCCUGAACCAGCCAAGUAGCGUGCAGGAUGACGGCCCUAUGGGUUGUAAACUGCUUUUAUAAGGGAAUAAAGUGAGUCUCGUGAGACUUUUUGCAUGUACCUUAUGAAUAAGGACCGGCUAAUUCCGUGCCAGCAGCCGCGGUAAUACGGAAGGUCCGGGCGUUAUCCGGAUUUAUUGGGUUUAAAGGGAGCGUAGGCCGGAGAUUAAGCGUGUUGUGAAAUGUAGACGCUCAACGUCUGCACUGCAGCGCGAACUGGUUUCCUUGAGUACGCACAAAGUGGGCGGAAUUCGUGGUGUAGCGGUGAAAUGCUUAGAUAUCACGAAGAACUCCGAUUGCGAAGGCAGCUCACUGGAGCGCAACUGACGCUGAAGCUCGAAAGUGCGGGUAUCGAACAGGAUUAGAUACCCUGGUAGUCCGCACGGUAAACGAUGGAUGCCCGCUGUUGGUCUGAAUAGGUCAGCGGCCAAGCGAAAGCAUUAAGCAUCCCACCUGGGGAGUACGCCGGCAACGGUGAAACUCAAAUGAAUUGACG